CACCAGAUAGUUCAGUUGGUAGAGAACCUGACUAGAGAUUCAGGUGGCCCAGGUUCAAAUUCUGGUCUGGUCU
rnacentral:tRNA from 1 species